UGUGUGUGUGUGUGUGUUUUUGUAUGUGUGUGUGUGUGUGUGUGUGUGGUGUGUGUGUGUGUGUGUGUGUGUGUGGUGAUGGGGUUAUUCGAAGCCUAAAAGUCUGGUGGGGCCAGUAUGAGAGAUAUGAAUAAUGAGCAAUAAAAGAAGUACAGUCGUUAGGGGUGCUAUAUGGUAGUAAUACGUCGGUUGGGAUGAAACACCAAUGGCGUCACAGAGAUGUUUGAAGUCCAGCCAGCCGACAAUGUGGAUUGAACUGGGGUCAGUGUGUGUGUGUGUGUGUGUGUGUGUGUGUGUGUGUGUGUGUGUGUGUGUGUGUGUGUGUGUGUGUGUGUGUGUGUGUGUGUGUGUGUAUUGUAAUCAUGUUUUAUCUACCAUAUUAUUCUACGAAUCCUCUUAGUACGUCUAUCUCAUGGCAAGCAUAUUAUAGUGAUGGAAAAAAAAUGAAGUAAUUAUCCGUAUAGCGAUACAUAUAGGCCUAAGGGAUAUAUCAUGGGGUAAAAGGUGGGUUCACCAACGGUCCCAGAGGGAACGGGGGAAGAUACGGACGGUAGUUCACAUAGACGACUUAUUAUGAGUUAUCAUGAAACUAUUAACAGCUAUUCUAUUAAUUUCAUCAAUUAAAAUGUAUGUGUAAUUAACUUUACUCAUUUUCAACGGUAAAUGUAUAGGACCCCAAGGAGUGCAGUGUAUGUGUAAACAAACAUCCUUAACGUAGGUAGGGUGUGUCCCUGGUGUCUAUUGGCCAGGAUGCAAUGACGCCGAGGGGGUGGGGGUAUGGUGAUGAGCGCAUGUCAUAAAUAUCGAUGAUGGAUCGGCAUCCUUGAACCAUACAGGAAGACCGCUAUUCUGCACCGGUAAACAAGUCUUAGCGUCUGAAAAAAACAUGUGUAUCUGUUGUCCAUAUCUGACUGACUGAUGAAUAGUAUCUCAAACAGUGAUUUACGGUGCCGUCGAUGAGGGCGUGAAGCACUAAACUGGAUCCACGAUCACGUUCGUGCGAUAUUCGGCGAAAUAAUCAAAGAUCGACGCUUGGCGAUCUGACCAACGUGGGUGCCAGCUGUAGCCAUAUACUCUACCCGUAGCACUAGCGCGUGUGGUGUAAAACAGUGGGCCCUUGGAGCCGGCCGUCUGCCGAAGAAAAACCUCAAAGAACAAGCCGCGGAUUGGCUUCUACCCUGCUCACCACCAUCAAAGGAUCAUCCACAAUAAAAGGGCUAGAAAGGGGGUCGCUCAAAACGCUUUUACCUCCUGAGAAUAUAAACUUGAUUCUCCAUGUAGUCAUAAACACUGAAAUCUCCAAGCAAGGGGGUGGAUGGUCUGUGACCGAACAGCCUGUGGCUGAGCCUGUGUCUGAGCCGCCUACAGAGACUGUCACAGUGCAACCGGAUGGGACCAUUCAGCAUGACCCUGAAUGCUCCAACCUUGGAGACCGCCAGUGGCCCCCACUGCCACCACUGACAGCUGAGGACCUCAAGCUCCUUAACGACCUCACGUCGUGGGGCGACUCACCGAGAUGUGAAUCGCUAUCGUUGGAACAGAUCGACCUCACCCCAUCUCUUUGGAUAGGACCCUCCAGUUACGGCCGUAGGGGGACCCCCGGUGUUGAGACAGCCUGCAGACACACAGCCUGCAGACCAACUUGACUCUGGAGCAUCACACCCCAUCCAAGACCCCCUCCAAGACCCACCGAGCAUUGUGAGUCCCAAACACCUAUGAUGCUGUGGCUACACUGCUACCAGCCAGCACUGAGGUUGUUGAAGAACACAGGUCGGGGGGUGUUGUAUUAGCUGUUGAAAAGAAUGUGUGGGUAAAUUAACCCUUGGUGACUAAUGCAGCGGAUGUAAAAUUCCAGAACCAUCGUCAUCAGUGUAAACUGGGCGCACUGGCUGGUAAACGUAUUAACCGUAGAUUCCAGGAUAGCGACGCACGGGCAAAGCAUGACCUCAGCUCCAUCAAGGCCGAGGUAGUGCGGAUUGGUUUUGCUAUUGCAUCCCUACAGCGUAAUCUACUGGAUAUCGAAGCAGCGGUGCAGGUUAACACUCUGUCUAUUGAGAGAGGAGAGAGGGCACAGUCGGGUCCGGAUGCUGCGAAAGUAGCGCGUAAAUCCUGGCUAAUUAAAGCUACGGGAGGGAUAAUGCCAGGGUUUGCCGGGCAAUGGCUGCAGAGUUGGCUGUGGUGAAUAAUUCCCUGGAAAAGCUUACGCUGAAUCGAUGACACCAUUGAUUAUUUGAUUGUCGUCGUUUUUUUUGUUGUUGUUUUUAUUUUUUAUUAUUUUUGUGGGGGAUUUCUUUUGUUAUAAACUA